rnacentral:rRNA from 1 species
CCUACGGGCGGCAGCAGUGAGGAAUAUUGGUCAAUGGACGAGAGUCUGAACCAGCCAAGUAGCGUGAAGGAUGACUGCCCUAUGGUUUGUAAACUUCUUUUAUAUGGGAAUAAAAUGUUCCACGUGUGGGAUUUUGUAUGUACCAUAUGAAUAAGGAUCGGCUAACUCCGUGCCAGCAGCCGCGGUAAUACGGAGGAUCCGAGCGUUAUCCGGAUUUAUUGGGUUUAAAGGGAGCGUAGGUGGAUUGUUAAGUCAGUUGUGAAAGUUUGCGGCUCAACCGUAAAAUUGCAGUUGAUACUGGCAGUCUUGAGUACAGUAGAGGUAGGCGGAAUUCGUGGUGUAGCGGUGAAAUGCUUAGAUAUCACGAAGAACUCCGAUUGCGAAGGCAGCCUACUAAACGGCCACUGACAUUGAUGCUCGAAAGUGUGGGUAGCAAACAGGAUUAGAUACCCGUGUAGUC